rnacentral:snoRNA from 1 species
AUCCUCCGGACGCCUUAACCCUCAGAUUUAAUAUUGGUCUGAGUGUCUGAAAAAUGAGGAAAAGUAAAGCUGAUGUGGACUUAAAAAUCUUUAGUAACAUCCAAAUUAAUUUCAACACACACACAC